UGGGUUAAGUCCCGCACCGAGCGCAACCCUCGUCGUUAGUUAUAUGUGUCUAACGAGACCGCCGGUAUCAAACCGGAGGAAGGUGGGGAAGACGUCAAGUCAGCAUGGUCUUUAUAUCCAGGGCUACACACACGCUACAAUGGCCGGUACAAUAGGUUGCCACACCGCGAGGUGGAGCUAAUCCUCAAAGCCGGUCUCAGUUCGGAUUGCAGU
rnacentral:rRNA from 1 species